rnacentral:misc_RNA from 1 species
GAUGAAGAACGUAGUGAAAUGCGAUAAGUAGUGUGAAUUGCAGAAUUCAGUGAAUCAUCGAAUCUUUGAACGCACAUUGCGCCCGCUGGUAUUCCGGCGGGCAUGCCUGUUCGAGCGUCAUUUCAACCCUCAAGCCCCCGGGUUUGGUGUUGGGGAUCGGCUCUGCCCUUCUGGGCGGUGCCGCCCCCGAAAUACAUUGGCGGUCUCGCUGCAGCCUCCAUUGCGUAGUAGCUAACACCUCGCAACUGGAACGCGGCGCGGCCAUGCCGUAAAACCCCAACUUCUGAAUGUUGACCUCGGAUCAGGUAGGAAUACCCGCUGAACUUAAGCAUAUCAAUAAGCGGAGGA